rnacentral:rRNA from 1 species
AACGAACGCUGGCGGCGUGGCUAAGGCAUGCAAGUCGAACGGACAUGUUCCAAGGGCAACUGCGGGGCAUGUUAGUGGCGAACUGGUGAGGAAUUACAUGAAUAACGUACCCUGGACUCGGGGAUAGCGGCGGGGCAACCCUUUGCGAAAGUGCCGGUAAUACCCGAUGAUCCCGCGGAGCCGCAUGGCACCGCGGGCAAAGGUCAGCCGGUCUGGGAUCGGUUCAUGUCCUANCAGCUAGUUGGUGAGGUAACGGCUUACCAAGGCAUCGACGGGUACCGGGCAUGAGAGUGCGGCCCGGCACAUCGGCACUGAGAUACUGGCCGGACACCUACGGGUGGCUGCAGCAACGAAUAUUCCGCAAUGGACG